UACGAACUGUGCGAACGUUAUUCGGAAUCACUGGGCUUAAAGGGUGCGUAGGCGGCUUGUUAAGUCAGGUGUGAAAUCCCCCGGCUCAACCGGGGAACAGCGCUUGAAACUAGCAGGCUGGAGUGAGGCAGGGGUGUGCGGAACUUCCAGUGGAGCGGUGAAAUGUGUAGAUAUUGGAAGGAACGCCGGCGGCGAAAGCGGCACACUGGGCCUUGUCUGACGCUGAGGCACGAAAGCCAGGGGAGUGAACGGG
rnacentral:ncRNA from 2 species